rnacentral:rRNA from 1 species
AAAUUUAACCGUAAAUUUAAGUGCUACUCUAAAGGGGUACAGCCCUUUAGACUCAGGAUACAACCUUUAUUAGUGAGUAAACAACCGAAAUAACCAUAGUUGGCCUAAAAGCAGCCACCAAUUAAGAAAGCGUUCAAGCUCAACAAUAAGACGCUAUAUUAAUUCAAUAAUCACUUAUUAACUCCUAAUUUACCACUGGACUAAUCUAUUACCCAAUAGAAGAAAUACUGUUAAUAUGAGUAACAAGAUUUAUAUCUCCUAGCACAAGCUUAUGUCAGACCAAAUAAUAACUGAUAAUUAACAGCCAAAUAAAUAUAACCUUAUAUUAAAUAUUUAUUUACACACUGUCGACCCGACACAGGAGUGCAACUACAAGGAAAGAUUAAAAGAAGUAAAAGGAACUCGGCAAACACAAACCCCGCCUGUUUACCAAAAACAUCACCUCUAGCAUUUCCAGUAUUAGAGGCACUGCCUGCCCAGUGACAAUCGUUAAACGGCCGCGGUAUCCUGACCGUGCAAAGGUAGCAUAAUCAUUUGUUCUUUAAAUAAGGACUUGUAUGAAUGGCCACACGAGGGUUUAACUGUCUCUUACUUCCAAUCAGUGAAAUUGACCUUUCCGUGAAGAGGCGGAAAUUCACCAAUAAGACGAGAAGACCCUAUGGAGCUUUAAUUUACUUAGCUCAACAGAACAACACAUUACUCCACCAAGGAACAACAAACAUUCUAACUGAGCUAAAAAUUUUGGUUGGGGUGACCUCGGGGCAUAAAACAACCCCCGAGAAUUAACUACUAAGACUAACAAGUCAAAGUGCUAUUUUACCAAUUGAUCCAGUCCCACUGAUCAACGGAACAAGUUACCCUAGGGAUAACAGCGCAAUCCUAUUCUAGAGUCCUUAUCGACAAUAGGGUUUACGACCUCGAUGUUGGAUCAGGACAUCCUAAUGGUGCAGCAGCUAUUAAUGGUUCGUUU